rnacentral:rRNA from 1 species
AGUGUAGGUGGUUGUCCAAGUUGGAUGUGAAAGCCUUGAGCUCAACUCAAGAAAUGCAUUCAGGACUGGGCGGCUAGAGGACCGGAGAGGAUAGUGGAAUUCCCAGUGUAGUGGUGAAAUACGUAGAGAUUGGGAAGAACACCAGUGGCGAAGGCGGCUAUCUGGACGGUUUCUGACACUAAGACUGAAAGCGUGGGGAGCAAACA